AGAGAAUAGAUACCCAGGUAGUCCACGCCCUAAACGAUGUCUACUAGUUGUCGGGGACUCAUUUCCUUGGUAAACGCAGCUAAACGCGUGAAGUAGACCGCCUGGGGAGUACGGCCGCAAGGUUAAAACUCAAAGGAAUUGACGGGGACCCGCACAAGCGGUGGAUGAUGUGGAUUAAUUCGAUGCAACGCGAAAAACCUUACCUACGCUUGACAUGCCAGGAACUUUCCAGAGAUGGAUUGGUGCCCGAAGGGAACCUGGACACAGGUGCUGCAUGGCUGUCGUCAGCUCGUGUCGUGAGAUGUUGGGUUAAGUCCCGCAACGAGCGCAACCCUUAUCCUUAGUUGCUACGCAAGGGCACUCUAGGGAGACUGCCGGUGACAACCGGAGGAAGUGGGGAUGACGUCAAGUCCUCAUGGCCCUUAUGUGUAGGGCUUCACACGUCAUACAAUGGUCGGUAC
rnacentral:rRNA from 1 species